UGUCAGAAAUAGCUGUCUGACUUUGAGGUACUGCAACAGCAGAGGGCACCAAUACUCCUUGGAAGCACCAAAUAUUUAAAACCAAACCAACGAAGAAGAAGAUAGCGCCACUUCUAACGGUCCAGACCUGGUCCAGACACUCCUGCUCAGCAAGGGAGCCCAGCAGCAUCCUGCACCGAACCAACAACCUUCUCUUUCAAAGGUGGUGAUCCAAAUCAGUGUGGAGCAGAAUGCACCAUAGAGAUGUACAACUCUCCUGUUGAACACCUCAAGACUGAAGACUACAAGGAAAGAACGCUAAUCUACACCGAGCAUCUGAAGAACAACAAACAAGUCCUCCAGCACAUUGAAUCCAAAACCUGUUCCAGUUCCUCAGACACCAUCAGAGACUGUUUUGAAAGCCCUCUACGAUCAGGUCUGGAUAAAAAGAAACUUUGCCAACCACUGCAAGUAUCAAGUGUUUUAAAUUUUGUUUGACUGUUUAUUAUGUACUUAUUUGUUUUGGGUUGUAUUAAGUUUGAUAUUAAUUAGAUCAGUGCCUUUUUAGUCAUUAAUUUGAUUAUUAAGUAUUAAUUGUUUAGGGCAGCAUGGUGGUUAGCACUGUUGCUGCACAGCAAGAAGGUUCUGAGUUCAAUUCCACCAUCAGGCCGGGGUCUUUCUGUGUGGAGUUUG